rnacentral:rRNA from 1 species
UACGAAGGUGGCAAGCGUUAUUCGGAUUUACUGGGCGUACAGGGAGCGUAGGCGGUUGGGUAAGCCCCUUCGUGAAAAUCUCCGGGCCCUAACCCCGGAAAAGUGCGGAGGGGGACUGCUCGGCUAGAGGAUGGGAGAGGAGCGCGGAAUUCCCGGUGUAGCGGUGAAAUGCGUAGAGAUCGGGAGGAAGGCCGGUGGCGAAGGCGGCGCUCUGGAACAUUUUCUGACGCUGAGGCUCGAAAGCGUGGGAGCAAACAGG